AGUAAUUAAAUCAUGAGUGGUGAAGAUAGUAGUAUUGAUUCUAUUGAUGCUGACGACGACAA
rnacentral:ribozyme from 1 species